rnacentral:rRNA from 1 species
AGGUGAACCUGCGGAAGGAUCAUUAUUGAAGCUUAGAGCGCGCUUUAUUGCGGCUCGACCCCUUCACAUCCAUUCACCCCUGUGCACUGUAAUUAUUUAUUAUUUAAACCCUACUGGUUGAUGAAUGUAAAAGACCCUUAUAAUUGAAAUAAAACUUUCAACAACGGAUCUCUUGGCUCUCGCAUCGAUGAAGAACGCAGCGAAAUGCGAUAAGUAAUGUGAAUUGCAGAAUUCAGUGAAUCAUCGAAUCUUUGAACGCACCUUGCGCCUUUUGGUAUUCCGAAAGGCACACCUGUUUGAGCGUCAUGAAUACCUCAACCUCCCCCCUUGCUAUCUUUUGAUGCAUGGGGGUGGUUUGGAUGUUGAGCAUUGCUGGCCUGGUUUAAGCAACCAAAGCCAGCUUGCUUUAAAUGCAUCAGCCGGCUCUGUACUUGAUUGGUCCGACUCAACGUGAUAACAUCUUCGUUGAGGAUAUGCAUUAUCAUAGAUAAAUGCAGCCAGAAAGUACAAAGCAGCUUUCUAGCCCCUGCUGUCUUUUUUUACAUUUUAGACCUCAA